rnacentral:rRNA from 1 species
AACGAACGCUGGCGGCAUGCCUAACACAUGCAAGUCGAACGAGACCUUCGGGUCUAGUGGCGCACGGGUGCGUAACGCGUGGGAACCUGCCCUUAGGUUCGGAAUAACUCCCCGAAAGGGGUGCUAAUACCGGAUAAUGUCUUCGGACCAAAGAUUUAUCGCCUUUGGAUGGGCCCGCGUUGGAUUAGCUAGUUGGUAGGGUAAAAGCCUACCAAGGCGACGAUCCAUAGCUGGUCUGAGAGGAUGAUCAGCCACACUGGGACUGAGACACGGCCCAGACUCCUACGGGAGGCAGCAGUGGGGAAUAUUGGACAAUGGGCGAAAGCCGGAUCCAGCAAUGCCGCGUGAGUGAUGAAGGCCUUAGGGUUGUAAAGCUCUUUUACCCGGGAUGAUAAUGACAGUACCGGGAGAAUAAGCUCCGGCUAACUCCGUG